rnacentral:rRNA from 1 species
CAGCCGCCGCGGUAAUACGUAGGGUGCGAGCGUUAAUCGGAAUUACUGGGCGUAAAGCGUGCGCAGGCGGUUCGUUAAGACAGAUGUGAAAUCCCCGGGCUUAACCUGGGAACUGCAUUUGUGACUGGCGAGCUAGAGUAUGGCAGAGGGGGGUAGAAUUCCACGUGUAGCAGUGAGAUGCGUAGAGAUGUGGAGGAAUACCGAUGGCGAAGGCAGCCCCCUGGGCCAAUACUGACGCUCAUGCACGAAAGCGUGGGGAGCAAACAGGAUUAGAUACCCCUGUAGUCCCUGUCUCUUAUAC